ensembl:lncRNA
CUUGUGGUAUGGCCUCUAUAUAUUUCUGCACUUGAAGUCUUUGAGCGGUGGAUUGUGAUACCUUCACGAGUGUCCUGUGGAGGUUGUUGGUUAUGUCAAUGAUUGUUGUUUUUGUGUUUUUCUUUACAGCUCUCACAAUGUUUCUGUCUUCAGCUGCUGUUGUUCUCAGUGUCUGUUGCUCAGUACAUCAGUGGUUUCUUUCUUUUGCAGGACAUUCCAAAUUGUUGUAGUCACUAUGCCCAAUGUUUGUGCAAUGUCUCUGAUUGAUUUUCCCUCUUUUCUCAGCUUCAAGAUGGCUUGCUUUUCUCCCAUAGACGGCUGUCCAAUUUUCAUGUUGGCCUAUCCUUUUUAACAACAAAUGCAGUCUUCACAGGUGAAACUGAAGGCUGAAACCAUGAGUAGAUGUUCAGAGCUAUUUAUUGUUUAAACAAUCAACUUAACAAGACACACCUGGGUAACAAGAAAUAUCUGUCAGUCCAUGUUCCAAUAUUUUUGCUGACCUACAAAUUGGGUGGUUGAUACAAAAUGUUCUAUGUCAUUUAACACAUCUACAUAUAAAUAUCAGGAAAUAAAAGCUGAAAUUCUAACUUUCUUCUCAUAUUUAAUUUUUAAUUUAAACCCAAAUGUCUUCAGUCUACAGCAAAAAACAACAACGAAUUAACCCUGUGUUCCAGUAUUUUAGGAGGGGACUGUAGAACCACAUGAAAUUGGAGCAGGCGAGUAGGACAGGGCAAGUAUUUGAACUUGAAUCAACAAUUGUGUUACUUUAGACCUUACUGCGGUACUAUUUUGGUGCUUUUUAAAUGGAAAAUAAGUAACAUAAUAAAUUUUUAGGUAUACUGAAUAUUUAUUUUACUUUGUGGGUAUGGCACUUUCCUUUAUUUACACUUUUUAAUGCAGAAAAUAUUCCAUUGCUGUUUGUCUAGCAAAUCAUGUUUAUUUUAAACAUCAAUCAUACAUAAACACGCAUGACACUGUCUAUGAUUUUCCAUCACUACAUAUAAAGAAGUUGAAGAAUACAGGCAAAAUGUAAAUCUGACAUGCUGUUGUAAAGGCAAUGACACACUGACACAGACAGUACUGUGAACUGAUAACAUGCUUCCACAAGAGGAGAUUACACCGGCUGAGCCCUUAAGUGAGGCUUCAACCUCUUACUUUUUGUUGUUAGUGUCCAUUAAUUUUGGUCACAAGUGGUGGCACUUACAGAGUUGGCAGUCAUCAUAGCUUUCCUGAAGUAUCAGUAAAUAUAAAAUAGGAUGACAAAAAAAGCCAAGCAAUGCCAAUCAUUUGUUAACACUUAGAUGAUCUUGACACAGUUCUCCCACAUUAGAAACAUCCUUACUUUCAUGUGUACUCUGGGCAAUAUUUAUCAAGCUUUCAUUCUUUUGUAAAGUCUGUCAACUCUGGUUGCCUAAAAAUGUAAAUGCAAAUAUUACAAAUACACUGACAUUACUAGUGUUCAUUAUAUAUUGCUAGUGUGUAAUCUUAAGGUUUUUGUUUGAGUUGGCCAGAUAGAUUCCUUGGUAGAUUCUUUUGAACCCAAUGUUUUUUUGAGGAAAAGCUUAAUAAAUGUUGUUCAGUAUUAUCUCUCAUUACUAGCCUUAGAAUUUGACUAAUGUUUCAUGCAAAUGAUGUUCUACAGCACCCCAGCACAGACUUGCAUUAAUAAUAUACUAUAUUAUACAUCAUCUCUCAUAUUUCUUUCUUUGUUUUGAAAGCAGUUGUAGUCCAGUACAAACAUGUAUUUUGUGACUGAUAAUCUGUCUAAUUUGCAAAUUGGUUAGCAUAUUAAAAAAAAAGAAUUGCUACCUACAUUUCUGUACAAUCUUACAGCAUUCACGUCUAUGGCUUGCUCAUUACUGACACUACAAAAGUAUUUUCAUGCAAACAAACUUGUCUAUUAGUGCAAAAUGAAUGAAGUCCUAGCAACUAUUUAGCCAUCAAAAUUCACUGCAGCGUGAGAAAACAGCCAAGUAACGACCUAACAGUUGUUUUUUUUUGUUUGUUUGUUUACAAAUUAUUUACAUUGUCACAAAAGUUUUUGUUUGAAUUGUGUGUGAUUUAGAGUUGAAACAGUUGUUUCUUUUGAUUGGUAUGAAACUGUGCUAAAACCAUUGAUCUUAUCCUGUGAGAGAUUUUGUUCGGUCAGUUCCCAUUACGCACAUUAGUCCUGGCCUGUCCUCCGGCACCGUACUGUGCGUUUGCAGUGGAGGUAGGAAUAGGUGUCAUCUCCUGGAGGCAAAUGAUGAGGAGAAAUGUAAACUUCAC